rnacentral:rRNA from 1 species
GAUGAACGCUGGCGCCAGGCUUAACACAUGCAAGUCGAGCGGGGAAGGGUAGCUUGCGACCUGACCUAGCGGCGGACGGGUGAGUAAUGCUUAGGAAUCUGCCUAUUAGUGGGGGACAACAUUCCGAAAGAAAUGCUAAUACCGCAUACGCCCUACGCGGGAAAGCAGGGGAUCUUCGGACCUUGCGCU